ensembl:lncRNA
GGAGAGGUAGCAUUAGCAGUAGUAUUAGCCGUAGCAUUAGCCGUAGCUUUAGCAGGCAGGUUGUUUUUGGUCUUGAUGACAUUGCUGCAGUAGCGUGCCCACUUCCGUGCUGGCUGAGGGAGAACAUAAUAGGCAGGGGGUCUGAGGAAGAAGUUGGCCCAUGGGUACCAACCACCAAUAGUAGUACCUGCUGUGCUGGUUUCAAUGGCAACCCCGGUGUCAGUAGCAGUCCAGGCGGAGUAGCUGGCUGGGUCAAGUGAUGGCUGGGUCAAGGCCAAAUAGCUGGGGUUGGCUGGAGAUGGUGUGGUAGAGUAGAGGCUUCCUGGGGGCAUAACAGUCCCAGUAGAGCCGAGUCCAGUCCCAGACCUAGGGUAAGCCUGUCCACGGCAGUCCAUGUCUGAGUAGCCCAUCUCUGGGUAGAGCAGAACUCCAGGGUAGCCAGGUCCACUUCCAGAAGAGACAGCUCCAGGGUAGGAAGUACCAGCUAGACCUGUUGUAACAUAGCCUGCCCCUGGGUAGCCUGUUCCCCAGUUGCCCCCAGACCACCUUGCCUGUGGCUGUGACUGUGUGUUACUGGGGCUGGGGAUAGGGUUAAUGGGGGAGUUGGAAGUGAACUGACUAACACUGACAACUCCAGCGUAACCUGAACCAGGGUAGGUGUAACCAGGGUAGGUGUAACCAGCGUAGGUGUAACCAGGGUAGGUGUAACCAGGUAGAAUCUCUGGGGGCUGUGGGUCAGUGGGGUUAGGGCUAGAAGAAACGGUAACCCCUCCAGUGUAACCCCCCUGGGCUAGUGUGGCAUUGGUAGUGGGGGUAUAACUCUGGAAGUUGGGGUUAGAGUUGGAGUUAGGGUUCUGGAAGUUGGGGUUAGAGUUAGGGUUCUGGAAGUUGGGGUUAGGUUUGGAGUUAGGGUUCUGGAAGUUGUGGUUAGGUUUGGAGUCAGGGUUCUGGAAGUUGUGGUUAGGUUUGGAGUCAGGGUUCUGGAAGUUUGGGUUAGGUUUGAAGUUGGGGUUAGGUUUGGAGUUGGGAGUGAACUGUCGGCUCUCGUAGUUCCAGGGGUCUCUGUCCUCGGGUUCCUGUAGGGAUAGCUUCCUUUUUAGCGGGUUGGGUAAUGCCGCCACUAUGGCGAUGGCAUGACCUUUUGAGUCACCCCUCAUCUUCUCCCCUCCAGGGUUAGGGCCUGUUGCCCUGGUAUGAGCCUCAGCGCUCUCUGCACUCUCUGGGGUGGUUAGGGCAGGAGGAAAGUGGGGGGAGCGCAACAAAGAGACAAAGUAUUCCACAAAUUGAUCACAGUCUACAAUGGAAGUCUUCUUCUUAACCCCAGAGGCGUAGACAGGACCUGGCUGGGGUGGAGGUGGAGGAGUGAGGCAGGGAGGGAUUGCCGGGGGUUGGGGGGUCAUGGGUCCGGGUGGGGGGUCAUGGGUCCGAGUGGGGGGUCAUGGGUCCGGUUCUUUCUGGGUGCAGGUGGGGGUAAGAGGUGUUGUUGGGAGGGUUGGCCUGGGUCUGGAGAGGUCUGACUGCUGAGGUUGGGUUGGGAGGUCUCUUGGUUGGUUGGCUGGACUGUUUGGGUAGUUGUUUGUUGACUAGGCAGGAAGGUUGGCUGGGUUUGACCUGGCUUAGGCUCGCCGCAGAAGUGGCUCUGGUGGGGGAGAAUGCAGCGGGGAGUAGGGGGAGAGCAGGGGGCUCAGAGGGACUAGCUCUGGGGGAGGCUUUGGAGGAACGGCUGGAGCUACGAUUAUGUCUCUUAGAGCUGGUGUGACAGCGUGAGUGGUCAGAAUGUCUGUUAGUGUGUUUGCGGUCACUGUGUCUGCGUUUGGUCUUGUCACUGUGUCCGUCUUUGGCUUUGUCAGUGCGUGUGAGGUCACUGUGUUUGCGAGUGUGUGUGCGGUUUCUGUGUGUGCGUUCACUGUGUGUGCGAGUAGGUUUAGCCUUUUCAGUAUGUUUCUGAGACUCAUUCUUGUCCGAAUGUUUGUCAGUGAGCUUCUGGCUAUUGGACAGUGUGUGUGUGGGUUUGCACAGUGUGUGAGUGGCUUUCUUGCUAGAGGACUCUUUGGCAACAGUCAGGCUGUCGGCAGGGAUACCGGAGGGCUUGGUGGCAGAAUGGGGAAUGAGUUUGGGUCUAGUAUAUUCUGGGGCUGUUGAACUGGGUUUGGGGUGUGUGCGUGAAGGUUUAAGUUUAGUUUGAGAGUCAGAGUGUGUGUAUGUGAGUUUCGGCUUAGUGUUGGAUUGUGUGGGUGAGGGUGUGAUGAUGUGUGUCUGGUUGACAGUGUGUGUUUCAGAAGACUUGAUGACUUCAGGAGAUGAUAGACAGAUGACAGGGGCAGUGUGACCCUCAGGGGGGCUGGACACCUUUCUCUUCUUCACCUGCUGCUGACCCCUCACCUCUGACCCCUCAACGUUAGAACAACGUUUUCC